AGUUUUAACUUUUACCGUCUUCCACCAGAUGCUCUAUGGCUUCUUCUCUUUUCCGAUGUGGACCCAGAAUUCCUGUGAGAAAUAUCUCCAGUGCUUUCAAGCUGUUCCUGCUGACACUUCCCUUCGCGAUUUGGGCUGCUGUGGUCCCUCGAAGCCUUUUUUCUUCCGGCUUCCGAUUCAACGGGCUUCUUUCCUUCAAAGGCAACUCCAUGUCAACCCUAACAAUCAACAAAAGACUCUUACGCACGGAAACCUAAUAGCUUGCUUGUCCUACCUGCCAACCUUCUUCAAAGCACACAAGAGCACCCAAUGACCAUACACCCGCAAAAGCGUUUGCACCGAUGGGUGAAAUCCUAAAACGUGGAAGCAUCUUGAAAGCAAAUGGUAAUUAAACACUGGAAAGCUGGGGCGGAGGAAGCAAGCGAGCCAGGGAUUGGAAUCCAUUAUGUGGCUGAGGCUUCUGUCUGGUCGAUUUAAGCAGAUUGAAGCCGAGGCGGUCGCACAUAACCGCCUCAGGUGAGGGCGCGCAGUGUUCCUGUGGGGUUAUCAAGCCGGCCAAGCCUUGAAGGCAGAGCAAAGCCCUUCCACUGGGAAGGUCCUCCUAAAUGCUUGUGCAGCCUCCGCGGGAUUAUCCCACCCCACUCACACAUCAUCUGGCUUUAAACUUCAGGCCCUCUGGCAAAGAGGAGAGAAAUGUUCUAUCCGAGCCCUCCUCCUUUCCCAUCCCGUUUCCUAGCAGCCGCUGGCUGAGUCCUGCCCUCCUCUGCCAAGCACCAGGCUGGAUUAGCUGCAAGCCAAUAGCUGGGGGUCAGGAUUAAGAGGCCAGCGUGCACUUUAAUACAAGCUGCCUAUAAUUAAUGGCAUUAUUAAUAGCUUGACUGAAAAAUUCAUUAAAAAAUCCAUUAAAAAUAAAUACCCUUUUACAAAAGGCAUUGCCUUGGGUAAGAAAAACAGAAAAAAAGAUAAAGGAAAAUUGAUUGGUGGCUUUCAGUUCACAGAAAGACAGACCAUAGUUCAAACUGAUUAAAAUUGAACAUUUUAGAUUAAGCACCCUUGCCAAAAUAUUCUCUGUAGUUACCCAAUAUGAACGUAUGAUGAUGGGCCAUGUAUUUACAUUCGUCUAUAUCAAGG
rnacentral:lncRNA from 9 species